UUAAGCGACUAAGCGUACACGGUGGAUGCCCUGGCAGUCAGAGGCGAUGAAGGACGUGCUAAUCUGCGAUAAGCGUCGGUAAGGUGAUAUGAACCGUUAUAACCGGCGAUUUCCGAAUGGGGAAACCCAGUGUGAUUCGUCACACUAUCAUUAACUGAAUCCAUAGGUUAAUGAGGCGAACCGGGGGAACUGAAACAUCUAAGUACCCCGAGGAAAAGAAAUCAACCGAGAUUCCCCCAGUAGCGGCGAGCGAACGGGGAGCAGCCCAGAGCCUGAAUCAGUGUGUGUGUUAGUGGAAGCGUCUGGAAAGGCGUGCGAUACAGGGUGACAGCCCCGUACACAAAAAUGCACAUACUGUGAGCUCGAUGAGUAGGGCGGGACACGUGGUAUCCUGUCUGAAUAUGGGGGGACCAUCCUCCAAGGCUAAAUACUCCUGACUGACCGAUAGUGAACCAGUACCGUGAGGGAAAGGCGAAAAGAACCCCGGCGAGGGGAGUGAAAAAGAACCUGAAACCGUGUACGUACAAGCAGUGGGAGCACGCUUAGGCGUGUGACUGCGUACCUUUUGUAUAAUGGGUCAGCGACUUAUAUUCUGUAGCAAGGUUAACCGAAUAGGGGAGCCGAAGGGAAACCGAGUCUUAACUGGGCGUUAAGUUGCAGGGUAUAGACCCGAAACCCGGUGAUCUAGCCAUGGGCAGGUUGAAGGUUGGGUAACACUAACUGGAGGACCGAACCGACUAAUGUUGAAAAAUUAGCGGAUGACUUGUGGCUGGGGGUGAAAGGCCAAUCAAACCGGGAGAUAGCUGGUUCUCCCCGAAAGCUAUUUAGGUAGCGCCUCGUGAAUUCAUCUCCGGGGGUAGAGCACUGUUUCGGCAAGGGGGUCAUCCCGACUUACCAACCCGAUGCAAACUGCGAAUACCGGAGAAUGUUAUCACGGGAGACACACGGCGGGUGCUAACGUCCGUCGUGAAGAGGGAAACAACCCAGACCGCCAGCUAAGGUCCCAAAGUCAUGGUUAAGUGGGAAACGAUGUGGGAAGGCCCAGACAGCCAGGAUGUUGGCUUAGAAGCAGCCAUCAUUUAAAGAAAGCGUAAUAGCUCACUGGUCGAGUCGGCCUGCGCGGAAGAUGUAACGGGGCUAAACCAUGCACCGAAGCUGCGGCAGCGACGCUUAUGCGUUGUUGGGUAGGGGAGCGUUCUGUAAGCCUGUGAAGGUGUACUGUGAGGUAUGCUGGAGGUAUCAGAAGUGCGAAUGCUGACAUAAGUAACGAUAAAGCGGGUGAAAAGCCCGCUCGCCGGAAGACCAAGGGUUCCUGUCCAACGUUAAUCGGGGCAGGGUGAGUCGACCCCUAAGGCGAGGCCGAAAGGCGUAGUCGAUGGGAAACAGGUUAAUAUUCCUGUACUUGGUGUUACUGCGAAGGGGGGACGGAGAAGGCUAUGUUGGCCGGGCGACGGUUGUCCCGGUUUAAGCGUGUAGGCUGGUUUUCCAGGCAAAUCCGGAAAAUCAAGGCCGAGGCGUGAUGACGAGGCACUACGGUGCUGAAGCAACAAAUGCCCUGCUUCCAGGAAAAGCCUCUAAGCAUCAGGUAACAUCAAAUCGUACCCCAAACCGACACAGGUGGUCAGGUAGAGAAUACCAAGGCGCUUGAGAGAACUCGGGUGAAGGAACUAGGCAAAAUGGUGCCGUAACUUCGGGAGAAGGCACGCUGAUACGUAGGUGAAGCGACUUGCUCGUGGAGCUGAAAUCAGUCGAAGAUACCAGCUGGCUGCAACUGUUUAUUAAAAACACAGCACUGUGCAAACACGAAAGUGGACGUAUACGGUGUGACGCCUGCCCGGUGCCGGAAGGUUAAUUGAUGGGGUUAGCGCAAGCGAAGCUCUUGAUCGAAGCCCCGGUAAACGGCGGCCGUAACUAUAACGGUCCUAAGGUAGCGAAAUUCCUUGUCGGGUAAGUUCCGACCUGCACGAAUGGCGUAAUGAUGGCCAGGCUGUCUCCACCCGAGACUCAGUGAAAUUGAACUCGCUGUGAAGAUGCAGUGUACCCGCGGCAAGACGGAAAGACCCCGUGAACCUUUACUAUAGCUUGACACUGAACAUUGAGCCUUGAUGUGUAGGAUAGGUGGGAGGCUUUGAAGUGUGGACGCCAGUCUGCAUGGAGCCGACCUUGAAAUACCACCCUUUAAUGUUUGAUGUUCUAACGUGGACCCGUAUCCGGGUUGCGGACAGUGUCUGGUGGGUAGUUUGACUGGGGCGGUCUCCUCCUAAAGAGUAACGGAGGAGCACGAAGGUUGGCUAAUCCUGGUCGGACAUCAGGAGGUUAGUGCAAUGGCAUAAGCCAGCUUGACUGCGAGCGUGACGGCGCGAGCAGGUGCGAAAGCAGGUCAUAGUGAUCCGGUGGUUCUGAAUGGAAGGGCACCCUCGCUCAACGGAUAAAAGGUACUCCGGGGAUAACAGGCUGAUACCGCCCAAGAGUUCAUAUCGACGGCGGUGUUUGGCACCUCGAUGUCGGCUCAUCACAUCCUGGGGCUGAAGUAGGUCCCAAGGGUAUGGCUGUUCGCCAUUUAAAGUGGUACGCGAGCUGGGUUUAGAACGUCGUGAGACAGUUCGGUCCCUAUCUGCCGUGGGCGCUGGAGAACUGAGGGGGGCUGCUCCUAGUACGAGAGGACCGGAGUGGACGCAUCACUGGUGUUCGGGUUGUCAUGCCAAUGGCACUGCCCGGUAGCUAAAUGCGGAAGAGAUAAGUGCUGAAAGCAUCUAAGCACGAAACUUGCCCCGAGAUGAGUUCUCCCUGACCCUUUAAGGGUCCUGAAGGAACGUUGAAGACGACGACGUUGAUAGGCCGGGUGUGUAAGCGCAGCGAUGCGUUGAGCUAACCGGUACUAAUGAACCGUGAGGCUUAACCUU
rnacentral:rRNA from 1 species